rnacentral:rRNA from 1 species
ACCCGCUGAACUUAAGCAUAUCAAUAAGCGGAGGAAAAGAAACCGACAGGGAUUGCCCUAGUAACGGCGAGUGAAGCGGCAACAGCUCAAAUUUGAAAUCUGGCGUCUUUGGCGUCCGAGUUGUAAUUUGCAGAGGGCGCUUUGGCAUUGGCAGCGGUCCAAGUUCCUUGGAACAGGACGUCACAGAGGGUGAGAAUCCCGUACGUGGUCGCUAGCCUUUACCGUGUAAAGCCCCUUCGACGAGUCGAGUUGUUUGGGAAUGCAGCUCUAAAUGGGAGGUAAAUUUCUUCUAAAGCUAAAUACUGGCCAGAGACCGAUAGCGCACAAGUAGAGUGAUCGAAAGAUGAAAAGCACUUUGGAAAGAGAGUUAAAAAGCACGUGAAAUUGUUGAAAGGGAAGCGCUUGCAGCCAGACUUGCCUGUAGUUGCUCAUCCGGGUUUUUACCCGGUGCACUCUUCUAUAGGCAGGCCAGCAUCAGUUUGGGCGGUUGGAUAAAGGUCUCUGUCAUGUACCUCUCUUCGGGGAGAACUUAUAGGGGAGACGACAUGCAACCAGCCCGGACUGAGGUCCGCGCAUCUGCUAGGAUGCUGGGCGUAAUGGCUGU